GCAAAAUUGAAUGCAAAAUUGAAUCUUAAUUUUGAAGGCUCUAAAAGAGGGUGUUAACUUAUAAGAUGGAUUUCAAAAAGCAAAUUCCAUCGUAAAAGUUUUUUGAACAUUUUGCAAAAGAGUUGAUAUUAGGAUUAUU
ensembl:ncRNA F46G11.15 ncRNA